rnacentral:rRNA from 1 species
CAGCACCUCAAGUGGUCAGGAUGAUUAUUGGGCCUAAAGCAUCCGUAGCCGGCUCUGUAAGUUUUCGGUUAAAUCUGUACGCUCAACGUACAGGCUGCCGGGAAUACUGCAGAGCUAGGGAGUGGGAGAGGUAGACGGUACUCGGUAGGAAGGGGUAAAAUCCUUUGAUCUAUUGAUGACCACCUGUGGCGAAGGCGGUCUACCAGAACACGUCCGACGGUGAGGGAUGAAGGCUGGGGGAGCAAACCGGAUUAGAUACCCGAGUAGUCC